UGCUCCCACGCACUUUUUAUCAUUAAAGGCCCAGUUUACAUCUGAGACUAUUUUAUUGAUCGCAUGAGUUGUUGCAUGCUGCUCUUUGAAUCCAUAUUGACUUUCCGGGAUGAUCUUCCGCUCGAUACAUUGAUUUCUUGACUAGGUCAAAACUAUUGAAUCGCGGGUUUUUUUUUAAUCUGUGAAUUUUUGUAAGUAUUUCUUUGCUUUCUUUUCUAAGUUUCCUGAUUUCUUUAUUUAUGUAAAUAUCUGUCGAAUUUCUUUCUUUUAUCUUUGGGACUGCUAUAUCUAUUGCCUGUGUGAUUUGUUCCGAUAGAGUAUCUAAGUAUUUGUCAAUUUCUGUUAAUCUUAGGUUACGAUUAGAUGGUACAUUUUCUACCCAGAAUUUGCACAAUUCCUUCUGAUAUGUAUUCCAGUUUGCUUUAUCAAAAUUAUAAUUGUAUUUGCUUAUUUUUUCUUCUAAAAAGUAUUUGUGAUCAUCUAAGUUUAUUUCAAUUACUAGUGCUUCGUGAUCGCUAUCGAAUGUAGUAGAACGCAAUUCGCCUUGGAUAAGAUUGGUUAUUUUCAUUCUGGUGUCUGCCAAUACCAGAUCUAGACAAGAGUACUAGUUCUGGAUUAUGUUCGUCUAAUAGGAUUCUUAAUUCUUCUCUUUUAUAAUUGCUGAUAAGUGA